rnacentral:sRNA from 1 species
GUCACACCAUGGAAGUCUGCAAUGCCCAAAGUUGGUGGGAUAACCUUUAUAGGAGUCAGCCGCCUAAGGCAGGGCAGAUGACUGGGGUGAAGUCGUAACAAGGUAGCCGUAGGAGAACCUGCGGCUGGAUCACCUCCUUUCUAAGGAAAACGGAUGGAUGGAGAGCAGAAAUGCUAAAAGAAAUCCAUCAGUUACGGAAGCACACUGCAAAAGAAACUUUGUUCAGUUUUGAGAGUAUCAGCUCUCACUUGUACGUUGAAAACUGAAUAUCUUAAUUCCAAGAAAAAACCGAGAAUCAUUGAGAUCAAUGAAAACAUUGCAAAGCGACCGAGAGAGUUCGAAAGAACAAACUUGCAAGGUCAAGUGAAGAAGGGCGCACGGUGAAUGCCUUGGCACUGGAAGCCGAUGAAGGACGCGACUAACCGCGAAAGUCUUCGGGGAGCCGUAAGUAGGCUUUGAUCCGGAGGUCUCCGAAUGGGGGAACCCAGCAUGUGCAGACAUGCUAUCCUUAAGUGAAUACAUAGCUUAAGGAAGGAACACGCAGUGAACUGAAACAUCUAAGUAGCUGCAGGAAGAGAAAGAAAUAUCGAUUUCCCAAGUAGCGGCGAGCGAACAGGAAAGAGCCCAAACCGGCAGAUUUAUCUGCCGGGGUUGUAGGACUGAGACAUGGCACUUCAGAGGAUAGCAGAAGCGUUUGGGAAAGCGCGCCAGAGAGGGUGAGAGCCCCGUAAGCGAAAUCCAAAGAAGGCCUAUCAGUAUCCUGAGUAGGGCGGGACACGUGAAAUCCCGUUUGAAUCCGCGAGGACCAUCU